AUUUGUUGUUAUAAUGCACAGCUGUGCCCGAUCCUGUCCGAUCUCAGAAGCUAAGCAGAGUCCUGCCUGCUCAGUUCUUGGAUGGGAGACCACCUUGGAAGACCAGUGGGAUGCAUC
rnacentral:rRNA from 12 species